AGAGCAAAUCGGCUUAUCGCUAUUUAUAGAGGAAAGUCCGGACACCAUAGAGCAGCAUAGCGGGUAACGCCCGUCCGUCGUAAGGCGAGGACCAGUGCAACAGAAAGGAUGUACAAUACGGUUGUAGUGAAAUCAGGUAAACUCUAUGCGGUGCAACGCUAUGUAAACCAGCACUUGAGGGCGGCUCGUUCGAUGUUGGAGGGUAGGCGGUUUGAGUUUACAAGUAAUUGUAAAUCAAGAUAAAUGAUAAGCGUCUUUACAAAAAGAUUACAGAAUCCGGCUUAUGAUUUGCUUUUUAA
rfam:Capnocytophaga canimorsus strain CcD38 genome assembly, contig: CCAND38_Contig_32